UCGGGUGUGGUGUACGGAACACUGCGCGUCUGCUUUACUGAGCGACGUUGAGUGUUAAGCGAUAGCGCGCAGUCCGGGGUUCGACUCCCCGCGCCCGAA